CAUUGUUGUUUUCUUCUUCUUCUUCUUCUUUUUUUUGAGAGAGAGAGAUAGGUAGCACACUACCCGCUUUGUUUAUUUCAUUUAGAAAUAAACUUAGCUGGAAAUAUGAAUCAAAUAGAAUUCAAACUUGGGACCUCGGGUAUCAACCACCAAGCCCUUUACUACUUGCUCUAGGGACGGUCGGUAUGUAAUUCAUUGUUAACUAGAGCAAGGUUCUUGGGUUGUGUUGAUGCCAAAUUUGAAAUGAACACGCCGACCUAGCCCACGUAUGAACCGAAAAAAUAAGGACACGUGGUACACCAGGAGUCAGCAAUAAAGCGCCUGAAGGCCAAGAGCAUUUAGGCCGGAACGGUUGAGAAGUGGGGCGUAACUUUUAUGUAAAAUGGGGCAUAACUUCCAUAAGAAGUGGGGCGUAACUUUCACGAUCAUGGUUACAACCACUCCCCCAACCAACCAAUAAUGUGGGUUGAUGUUACUAUAAAUAGUAAUUUCAAAGCCUGCAAUAGGGGUCUUUCUCCCCGUUGAACGAGAAGACCACCCUAUUUUCCUUGCAAUUUUAUCGCUUUUUUAGGAAUAGUCUAAAUGUAAUCUUUUUCUUUUCCGCAUUUACUGCUUUCCUAGGAGUAGUUCGCUAAGUAGAACCCUGGAGUCUGUCUGCCCCACGGGCAUCACUCCGUUGUAGACUAUAUUUGCAGAGUCUGUCUGCCCAACGGGCAUCACUCUGUUGUAAACUAUAUUUCUGAGUCUGUAUGCCCUUCGGGCACACUCUUUUUUUUUAUUAUAUAAAGGCAUUCGGCUCUUUUAGCCAACUAGUCAUUGUGUACUUCUUCCAUUCGGCUCUUUCAACCGACCAGUUACUGUGUACUUCUUCCAUUCGACACUUCUGCCGACAUUGAUCCCUGCACAGUUCGUACAUUCGGCUCCUCCAGCCGAACCGAUUCUACAGUAAAGGUUUUUGAACUCGGCUAAUCCGAUCCCUCGUCAGCCGAAUCUCUUGAUCUGUCGAAGGGCGCAAACUUCGAGGGUCACUAAUCGUAGCCGUUCCGCAUCCCGACGCGCUCCCCGAGGAGGAUAUUUGACCAGGUCAAGCGUCGGGAAGAUUCGGCUACUAACAAUUUUUGGGACGCCUGGUGGGACUCGAUUUUAGAUAAAUUCACAUUUUUAUUGAAAUUAUGGCUGAUGAUAAUGCCAUGAAUUUGCGCAAUAGGGUUGUUCCUAGAAAUUCUGGGAGUAAUCAACCUAGUGAUUCAGACAAUGCUGGCGAAUGUCAAGCAAUUUUGCCAGUUGAAGGAGAAACUAGUGGACAGUCGGCUCAUCAAGAGCCGAGUCUAACUCAGGCGUUCGGCCAGAUGAGCCGAGUCCUGCAAACUUUAGAUCAAAAUAUCCAUCAAAGUACCGCUCGACUAGACUCUGUGCUGGCCGCCAUCAAGGCCUAUAAUGAAAAUAUUGCACGAAUAGGGUAAUUAUUGACUCGAAAUGAGCAACCAAUGACAGGCUUACAAUGGCCUAUGAUGACACCAGUAUUGCAAAAUCCUGCGAUACCAGUAAAUAGACAGCCCCAAUACCAGGGGACACCAUAUCAAGCGGCUUAUAGACCGGCUGUCGUUAAUGCCGAUCAACAACCGGAGAUAGCGUGGAGGUUACCUCCACCUCCACCAAUCGCAGCAUACCAGCCUCAAAAUGUAGGGGCUAGGGAGCAGGCCCCAAAUGCACAAGGAGCGAACCUUUUGAUACAAAAUUUCGGACCACCACAAGGGCUGAAUCCAGCACAAACACAAGUCCCAUUGCAGGGUAUUAAUAAUGAAAUAUAUACACAAAUCGAGGAAGCCAUCCGAAACACUUUCGGAGUAGGCGCAAGGCCGGGAAUGCGGCCUAUAUUUAGAUCACCAUAUCCUGCGAAUAUUGACACAGAACAUCCUUAUCCGGCAAAUUGGAAGAUGCCAAAAUUUGACAAAUUUUUCGGUGAUGAGACCGAAAACACGGUCGAACAUGUUGCACGGUUUACGGGACAAUGUCGAGAAGCCGCUGCAGAUCCGUUUUUAAAACUUCACAUCGUUAACUAAAACGGCGUUUACUUGGUAUACAAGUUUAUCGGCCAAUUCCGUUCAAGACUGGGACGAAUUGGAAAGAAAAUUUCAUGAGCAAUUUUGUAGGUCGGAGCCACAAUUAUCGAUUGCCAAUUUGGUUUUAUACCGACAAAAGUCAGGUGAAAUGGUCGAAGAGUAUUUGAACCGUUUCAAAAUAGCCAAAAUCCGGUGUCUUAUAAGAAUGCCGGAAUCAGAGUUCGCCAAAAUGGCAUUAAAUGGUUUACAUUUUAAAAUAAAAAACCAUUUUGAAGAUAAGUAUUUUUCUAACAUAUUUGAUCUAAAUGUUAGAGUUGCCCAAUAUGAGCAAUUUCAGAAGAAAUGUGAGGACGAUCGGCUGCAAUGGAGCUGAUAUAAAAAUCAAAGUAAAGGCAAGGAGAAAUCCUUGCUAGAAGAACAGUCGAUUCAAAAGGAGCCGAACCAAUCGAGUGAAAGUGAAGAAUCGGCUAAAGAAGCCGAGGUAUAUAUGGCUAGUAAAGAGCUACUUUCUUUAAGGAGAAAUCCUUGAUAGAAGAACAUUCGGUUCAAGAAGAGCCGAAUCAAUCGAGUAAAAGUAAAAAUCGGUUGAUGGAGCCGAGGUAUAUGCAGCUGGGAUGAUAAAGAGCCGUAUUCUUUAAGCCGACCAAGACCAGCGAAACUAAAGCUUGGAUCUCGGCUAUGCUAUUGAGCAGUCGAUUUGGCACGAAUAGUCAUCUGAAUGUUCAUUCGAAAGACUAUUGAGGGGCAUUGUUGAUGCCAAAUUUGAAAUGAACACGCCGACCUAGCCCACGUAUGAGCCGAAAAAAUAAGGACACGUGGUACACAGGAGUCGGCAAUAAAGCGCCUGAAAGCCAAGAGCGUUUAAGCGGGAACGGUUGAGAAGUGGGGCGUAACUUCUAUGUGAAGUGGGGCAUAACUUUCAUGAGAAGUGGAGCAUAACUUCCACGAUCAUGGUUACAACCACACCCCCAACCAACCAAUAUUGUGGGUUGAUGUUACUAUAAAUAGUAAUUUCAAAGCCUGCAAUAGGGGUUUUUCUCCCCCCUGAACGAGAAGACCACCCUAUUUUUCUUGCAAUUUUAUCGUUUUUCUAGGAGUAGUCUAAAUGUAAUCUUUUUCUUUUUCGCAUUUACUGCUUUCCUAGGAGUAGUUUGCUAAGUAGAACCCUGGAGUCUGUCUGCCCCACGGGCAUCACUCCGUUGUAGACUACAUUUGCAGAGUCUGUCUGCCCAACGGGUAUCACUCUGUUGUAAACUAUAUUUCUGAGUCUGUAUGCCCUUCGGGCACACUCUUUUUUAUUAUAUAUAAAGGCGUUCGGCUCUUUCAGCCGACUAUUCAUUGUGUACUUCUUCCAUUCGGCUCUUUCAGCCGACCAGUUACUGUGUACUUCUUCCAUUCGGCACUUCUGCCAACAUUGAUCCCUGCACAAUUCGUACAUUCGGCUCCUCCAGCCGAACCGAUUCUACAGUAAAGGUUUUCGAACUCGGCUGAUCCGAUCCCUCGUCAGCCGAAUCGCUUGAUCUGUCGAAGGGCGCAAACUUCGAGGGUCACUAAUCAUAGCCGUUCCGCAUCCCGACGCGCUCCCCAAGGAGGAUAUUUGACCAGGUCAAGGGUCAGGAAGAUUCGGCUACUAACA
rnacentral:lncRNA from 1 species